ensembl:lncRNA
GAGCGGGAGAGGAGCGAGGGGGCGGCGGGGGGAGCGCCGGGCCCGCCCCGUCCCCGCGGGAAGGACGCCGGGAUCCGCGUAAAGGUGAAGCCGGGCAGUGCCGAUAGUACAUACACAGCAGCCCCUGACAGCGCCUUGUCACUUGCGCGGCUCAGCGUCGCUUCGAGCGCUGUCGAGGAAACGCAGUCACCCAAUGAGGAGCGAAGGGAAACUGAGGCACGGGCUGUCCCGGGGGCACGCAGCCCCCCCGGCCCCACCUCGCUCUGCAGGUGCCGUCCUCCCGCCCCGCACCCCGUUCACGUCCCAGCACGGCGGUUCGUAGUGUAACCCCGCCGCUGCCUGAAUGGUGAGCGCUCGAGAUUCUACCUCCUCCCGCCCCCAGUUGGUUCACAGUGAUAAAGUUUGGAUCCAAAGGCGCGCUCAGGUGUGGGGGCUCUGCUCCUGCCCUCGCUUUGCUGCUUGG